GGAAUAUUGCCCAAUGGACGCAAGUCUGAGGCAGCAACGCCGCGUGGGCGAUGAAGGCCCUAGGGUUGUAAAGCUCUUUUACCCGGGAUGAUAAUGACAGUACCGGGAGAAUAAGCUCCGGCUAACUCCGUGCCAGCAGCCGCGGUAAUACGGAGGGAGCUAGCGUUGUUCGGAAUUACUGGGCGUAAAGCGCGCGUAGGCGGUUUUCCAAGUCAGGGGUGAAAGCCCGGGGCUCAACCCCGGAAUAGCCCUUGAAACUGGAAGACUAGAAUCUUGGAGAGGUCAGUGGAAUUCCGAGUGUAGAGGUGAAAUUCGUAGAUAUUCGGAAGAACACCAGUGGCGAAGGCGACUGACUGGACAAGUAUUGACGCUGAGGUGCGAAAGCGUGGGGAGCAAA
rnacentral:rRNA from 1 species